rnacentral:rRNA from 1 species
UAGAGUUUGAUCCUGGCUCAGAUUGAACGCUGGCGGCAUGCUUUACACAUGCAAGUCGAACGGUAACAGGGAGCUUGCUCCGCUGACGAGUGGCGAACGGGUGAGUAAUAUAUCGGAACGUACCCAAGAGUGGGGGAUAACGUAGCGAAAGUUACGCUAAUACCGCAUACGAUCCAAGGAUGAAAGCAGGGGACCUUCGGGCCUUGUGCUCCUGGAGCGGCCGAUAUCUGAUUAGCUAGUUGGUGAGGUAAAGGCUCACCAAGGCGACGAUCAGUAGCUGGUCUGAGAGGACGACCAGCCACACUGGAACUGAGACACGGUCCAGACUCCUACGGGACGCAGCA